CUUCUUCCCCAAGCAAUGGCUGAGCAAAUCUCUUAAUAACAGAGCAACUACUCGCAGAUUAUUGUGAUCAUAAUUUGGCUGACAUAGCCUUUAUUACUAAUGGCAAUGCUGGAAAUGGAAAACCCAGCUUGAUGCUCAGCUCCCUGCUGGAAAGUAAUAAAAUAAAGAGGAACAAAAUCAGUGAGUGUAUUUGCUACCAAACCUUUGAAAAACACAAAAGUGGAACCCUGCCAAUGCUGUUGCUGGCGGUUUUUCAGACCAGAGCCUCUCUCCAAGCUUUUGGAGCGCCGCUACCAUCAGCUGCUCUAACACCAGCAUGAAGUGUGAAGGUACCAUCUCUCUUCACAGUGGCUCUGCAGAUAGCAGUGCUGCCCAUUUGUAUGACC
rnacentral:lncRNA from 1 species